UAAGCAACCGAGUAACUUCCUUCAGCAUUAAUUAAUCACCGUUCUGUGCAUAUGGUAGAUUAUUAAUGCAGUCUGAACACUGGCACUUACCAUUCGGAGUGUAGUAGUAGUAGUAUAUAUUCCGAGGCAUCAACUGAUCAUUUCCUAAUGGAUGUGCAUUUUGCAUCUGAAUCACCUACUGAAUUUAGUGUUUUUCCGUGGAUUCGUUUCAGAUCGACCGCGGGAAGUCGUAAAGCGAGCGGUGUGUGCCAUGAACUCCGCUUCCUUGGCAUCCAAGUUGGUUUCUUCUGUGGGAUUGCGCUUUUUCGCCAGGGAAGAAGAUACAGAGAUGCUUGUGCGGCGCAGGUUUUCCUGGAAAGUAUUAUUCAGUUUUCCUGGAAAGUUUUCUGGAAGGAAGGUGGACGUAGACUGGACACAACACAACAGAAAAUGCAGGUGCUGUGCAUAUCAUCAUCCUUGCCGCCUACUCCUUCUCCCACCUGUCAUUUUCUGCUGUGUGUACCGUUUCCUGUGCUGUCCAUUCUUGAUAUGGCGCCAUGAUUUUGCUUGUCAUUACUUUCCACUCCGUGCUAUUACGCUUUUGUUUGUCAUUGCUUUCCGUUCCAUGCCAGCUGACGCGCACGGACCAAGACCCGUCCACGUCGUGCAACUGAAACAAUAGGUGCCAAAUCGAUGACUACUGGUGUCUGGAGAAAGUGAUGAUGAGAUUGCGUUACCAUCGUGUCGACCGUCCAGGAGCUCGACAAGAUCAUGGAGGGCAACAUCAGUGUCAUCGCUCCUCAUCAGAACCUCGGCGACCUCUGCAGGCGUCACCGUGACCUCCUCGAUCAACGCCUCAAUCUCAGGAUAGGUGACAUGGUAGUCAAUGGAAUGGUAGUUAUUGGCAAGGAUCUGUAAGGCCUCUGUGGUGCAGUACCCCAUGUGGAUGUGCAUGUCCAUCCUGCCAGGCCGCAGAAGUGCUGGGUCGAGACGCUCCUUGUAAUUGGUCGUGAAGAUGAGGAUCCUUUCCUCCCCACUUGUCGACCACAAGCCAUCUACAAAAUUGAGCAGCCCAGACAAUGUGACCUGUGCAGACAACAACCAAAAUUGUCAUCAGCAUAUGAAUUGGAUUUGGAAUCCUCCUCGUCAUCUUCCUCCCGCUGCUCCAGUUCAAUGGUGCAGUCGAUGUCCUCAACAACGAGAAUGGACCGGUUGGUCAUCCCGACGAGAAGCCUCCUGAGGUCCGAGUUGGAAUUGACCCCGGUCAGCUCGAGGUCGUAAAUGUCAAACCUGAGGUGGUUGGCAAUGGCGGCGAUGAGGCUGGACUUGCCGGUGCCCGGCGGGCCGUACAACAGAUGGACCGCGGGAAGUCGUACAGCGAGUGGUGUGUGCUAUGUACUCUGCUUCCUUGGCAUUCAAGUUGUGUCGCGCAAGUCUUUUUCCUGCAGUGUAUUCAGUUUUCUCGAAAGAAGCAGAGGAUGCUGUGCUCCUUCCUGGAUGGAGGGUGGACGAGACACGAGACACAACAUGACAGAAAACGCAGGUGCUGUUGCAUAUAUCAUCCUUGCUGCCUAC